rnacentral:rRNA from 1 species
GACGAACGCUGGCGGCGUGCUUAACACAUGCAAGUCGAACGGAAAGGCCCUGCUUUUGUGGGGUGCUCGAGUGGCGAACGGGUGAGUAACACGUGAGUAACCUGCCCUUGACUUUGGGAUAACUUCAGGAAACUGGGGCUAAUACCGGAUAGGAGCUCCUGCUGCAUGGUGGGGGUUGGAAAGUUUCGGCGGUUGGGGAUGGACUCGCGGCUUAUCAGCUUGUUGGUGGGGUAGUGGCUUACCAAGGCUUUGACGGGUAGCCGGCCUGAGAGGGUGACCGGCCACAUUGGGACUGAGAUACGGCCCAGACUCCUACGGGAGGCAGCAGUGGGGAAUAUUGCACAAUGGACGGAAGCCUGAUGCAGCAACGCCGCGUGCGGGAUGACGGCCUUCGGGUUGUAAACCGCUUUCGCCUGUGACGAAGCGUGAGUGGCGGUAAUGGGUAAAGAAGCACCGACUAACUACGUG